rnacentral:lncRNA from 1 species
UGGAGCUCCUGGGCCAGAGAUCAGCUCUGAGCCGCAGUUGCCACCUACACCAAAGUUGCAACAAUGCUGAAUCCUUAACCUGCUGUGCAGGCCAGGGAUCAAAGCUGUGUCCCAGCGCUCCCAGGAUGCAGCUGAACUGUCGCACUACAGCGGGAACCCCGACGUGGCUUCUUUUUUUUUCUUUUUGCCAUUUCUGGGCCGCUCCUGCAACAUAUGGAGGUUCCCAGGCUAGGGGUCUAAUCUGAGCUGUAGCCGCCAGCCUACGCCAGAGCCAUAGCAACACAGGAUCCGAGCAGUGUCUGCGACCCACACCACAGCUCACGGCAACACUGGAUCGUUAACCCACUGAGCAAGGUCAGGGAUCGAACCCGCAACCUCGUGGUUCCUAGUCGGAUUCGUCAACCACUGCACCAUGAUGGGAACUCCUCGAUGUGGCUUCUUUAGACACCCAGAACCUGCUCCCCACCCCUCUGGGCUGGGCUCCCAGCCUCACCCUACCUGGGCACAAACGACUCCGUGUUCAAAUGGCUGGUAGAGGGGAGCUCACAAAAAUGGGCGGGAAGGACACGAGAGUUUGGGAAACGGGCUUGUUAAGUGAGAGGCGAAGUCAGGUGCCUAUUUCAGAUCACAGUAAAAAACCGCCAGGAGUUCUCAUCCCGGCUCAGCGGAAGCGAAUCUAACAAACGUCCGUGAGGACGUGGGUUCGACCCCUGGCCUCGCUCAGUGGGUUAAAGACCUGGCGCUGCUGUGGCUGUGGCGCAGGCUGGCAGCUACAGCUCUGAGUGGACCCCUAGCCGGGAACCUCCAUGUGCUGCGGAGUCAGCCCUCAAAAAGACAAAAAGACAGAAACCAACCAACCAACCCUCUCCAAAUGGCUCGAAGACAUACUUGUGAAAGGAAAAACCAUCAGUAGACUGGAUAUCUUUGUGACUCUGGGUAGAGGAUUUAAUUAAUUAAUUAAUUAAUUAAUUAAUUUUGCUUUUUAGGGCCCUACCCACCGUGUAUGAAGGUUCCCAGGCUAAGGGUCAGAUUGGAGCUGCAGCUGCCAGCCUACACCACAGCCACAGCAACACAGGAUCUGAACCAAAUUUGCAACCUAUGCCACAGCUCACAGCAAUGUCAGAUCCUUAACCCAUUGAGCGAGGCCAGGGUUCGAACCAGAAACGUGGUUCCUAGUUGGAUUUGUUUCUGCUGCUCCACGAUGGGAACUCCUGGGUAGAGGAUUUACUCAUUAAAUUUAGAAGGCAUUGAGGAGUUCCUGCCAUGGCACAUGGAUUAAGACUCCAACUGCAGGAGUUCCUGCUGUGACCCAAUGGGAUCAACAGCGUCUCUGGAGCCGUGGGACACAGGUUUGAUCCCUGGCCCAGCAAGGUGGGUUAAGGAUCUAGCAUUGCUGUAGCUGUGGCUUGGAUUCAAUCCAUGGCCCCGGCACUUCCAUCUGUGGCCAUAAAAUUGAAAAAUUAAAUUCAAAGUGUUUAAUUAUGAAAAUUAUGAAUUUGUUGUUGCUUUUUAGAGCUGCACUCACAGCAUGUGGAGGUUCCCAGGCUAGGGGUCGAGUCAGAGCUGUAGCGGCCAGCCUACACCAGAGCCACAGCAACUCAGGAUCUGAACUGUGUCUGCAACCUACACAACAGGUCACGGCAAUGCCGGAUCCUUAACCCACUGAGCAAGGGCACUGACCGAACCCGCAACCUCGUGGUUCUUAGUCGGAUUCGUUAACCACUGCGCCAUGAUGGGAACUCCCGAAAUUCUUAAACUUUCUGAAGAACCGUACCCACGUUCUCACCAGCCAGGUUUACCAGGUGUAGGUAUUUUGUCCUGUCUGUCCCCAGUCCAUCUGUCUUUUAAGGAAGUAAAUGCUCAGGUCCUGCUCCCUUUCACCACUUUCCUCCUCUGUCGCCUCCUCCCCCUUCCCACUCUUGUUUUCGUAUUUUUUACUGCAAAUGAAGAUGUUUAAAAACCAUACCUGUAUCGAUGGUUCGUUUAUUUAUUCAUUUGGCUCUGCCAGCGGCAUGCAGACGCUCCCGGGCUGGGGAUCGAACCCGUGCCAGACCAGCAGUGACAAGGCCGGAUCCUUGACCCGCUGUUCCACUGGGGAACUCUGAUGCAGUGUUUGUAAACUUUGCUAAGACGGCAUUACACGGUCUCCGUUCCGGAGCUCGCUUUGCCACGCAGCUUGUCGCCAUCAGCCCACGCAAAUGGGCACCAUGUCGGUUCAUCCGCUGAGUCUGCUCAUAAUGUCCCACGCAGCAGCCUCUUCAUGGAACUAGGAAAACCAAUGCCGCCUCCAACAUCCCUUUCCUGCCUCCGAGUGGAUUUGAUGGUGGAGAAGCAGAAAUGCCGGGUAAUGGAGUUCCUGUUGUGGCUCAGCAGUUAAUGGACCUGACGAGGGUCCACGAGGAUGCAGGUUCGAUCCCUGGCCUAGCUCAGUGGGUUCAGGAUCCGGCACUACCAUGAGCUGUGGUGUAGGUCGCAGACACGCCUCAGAUCCUGCGUGGCUGUGGCUGCGGUGUAGGCCGGCAGCUGUAGCUCCGAUUAGACCCCUAGCCAGGGAACCUCCGUAUGCUGCAGAUGUGGCCCUAAAAACGACAACAAAGAAGUGCCCAGUAAGAAUGAGGGGGACACGGCCCUCCAGGUGAAUCAUUCCUGUGAAUGCUUGGUGGUAUUGGCUUAAAUUUUUACCACUUGAUGUCCAAUGCGAGCCUUGGUCAUUCCCUUGGCUACCAGUGGGCUUAAGCAUCUUUUUAACGUGUUUAUUGGCCAAUUGAGUCUCUGCCUGUGGAACUGCUUAUUCAUGUUUAUUGCUCAUUUUUCUACCGCAUGAUGUGCUUUCACUGUUCUUUGGAGAAUUCUUGUGUAUUGUGGAAAUACAUGCAUUAUCAGC